rnacentral:lncRNA from 1 species
UGGGACUAUAGAACAUCUAAUACUCUUACUACCUCUACUAGAGAACCAUAUUGUCUUAAUCUCUAUAUAUUCAAAUCAGAAGAAAACCUUUACCCUUUGGAAGCACAUAUUCUAAGCUCCAAUAUUCUAGACCUAAUAAAAUCCCUUCCAAAAGAAAACUUUCAUAUUCCCAAGAUAGGAGAAAAGGAUCAAGUUUAUCAUGAAAAAAUUCUGACUCAACCAA